GUGCUUGCUUCGGCAGCACAUACACUAAAAAUUGGAACGAUACAGAGAAGAUUAGCGUGACCCCUGCACAAGGAUGACACACAAAUUCGUGAAGCAUUCCAUAUUUUU
rnacentral:snRNA from 1 species